rnacentral:rRNA from 1 species
AUUGAACGCUGGCGGCAUGCCUUACACAUGCAAGUCGAACGGUAGCAUGUCCUUCGGGAUGAUGACGAGUGGCGAACGGGUGAGUAAUAUGUAGGAAUAUACCUAUAGGUGGGGGAUAACUACUCGAAAGAGUAGCUAAUACCGCAUAACAUCUACGGAUUAAAGCAGGGGAUCGUAAGACCUUGUGCCAAUAGAAUAGCCUACAUCCGAUUAGCUAGUUGGUAGAGUAAAAGCCUACCAAGGCAACGAUCGGUAACUGGUCUGAGAGGAUGAUCAGUCACACUGGAACUGAGACACGGUCCAGACUCCUACGGGAGGCAGCAGUGGGGAAUUUUGGACAAUGGGCGAAAGCCUGAUCCAGCAAUGCCGCGUGGGUGAAGAAGGCCUUCGGGUUGUAAACCGCUUUCGGCCGGAACGAAAUCGCCGGGGAGAACAUCCCCGGUGGAUGACGGUACCGGAAGAAGAAGCACCGGCUAACUACGUGCCAGCCGCCGCCGUAACAC